UACGUAGGGUGCAAGCGUUGUCCGGAAUUAUUGGGCGUAAAGAGCUCGUAGGCGGUUUGUCGCGUCUGCUGUGAAAACUCGGGGCUUAACCCCGGGCCUGCAGUGGGUACGGGCAGACUAGAGUGCGGUAGGGGAGACUGGAAUUCCUGGUGUAGCGGUGAAAUGCGCAGAUAUCAGGAGGAACACCGGUGGCGAAGGCGGUUCUCUGGGCAUUACCUGACGCUGAGGAGCGAAAGCAUGGGGAGCGAACAGG
rnacentral:rRNA from 1 species